UUUAGAGACACAACAUUCGAGGUCACAAAACUACAGGCAGAGGUUUAGAGACACAGCAUUCGAGGUCCCCCAAAACUACAGGCGGAGAUUUAGAGACACAACAUUCGAAGGUCCCAAAACUACAGGCUGACAUUUAGAGACACAACAUUCGAGAUCACAAAACUACAGGCGGAGAUUUAGAGACACAACAUUCGAAGGUCCCAAAACUACAGGCUGACAUUUAGAGACACAACAUUCGAAGGUCCCAAAACUACAGGCUGACAUUUAGAGACACAACAUUCGAGGUCACAAAACUACAGGCAGAGGUUUAGAGACACAACAUUCGAGGUCCCGCAAAACGAUACGCGGAGAUUUAGUGACACAAUAUUCAGGUUCCCCAAAACUACAGGCAGAGAUUUAGAGACACAGCAUUCGAGGUCCCCCAAAACUACAGGCGGAGAUUUAGAGACACAACAUUCGAGGUGCCCCAAAACUACAGGCGGGGAUUUAGAGACACAGCAUUCGAGGUCACAAAACUACAGGCGGAGGUUGAGAGACACAACAUUCGAGGUCCCCCAAAACUACAGGCAGAGAUUUAGAGACACAACAUUCAAGGUCACAAAACUACAGGCGGGGAAUUUAGAGACACAACAUUCGAAGGUCCCAAAACUACAGGCAGAAAUUUAGAGACAGAGCAUUCAAGGUCCCCCAAAACUACAGGCAGAGAUUUAGAGACACAGCAUUCGAGGUCACCAAACUACAGGCAGAGGUAUAGAGACACAACAUUCAAGGUCCCCCAAAACUACAGGCUGACAUUUAGAGACACAACAUUCGAGGUCCACCAAAACUACAGGCG